GGAUCCAGACUUUGAUUCUGGCUCAGGAUGAACGCUAGCUACAGGCUUAACACAUGCAAGUCGAGGGGAAACGACAUCGAAAGCUUGCUUUUGAUGGGCGUCGACCGGCGCACGGGUGAGUAACGCGUAUCCAACCUGCCCAUCACUUGGGAAUAACCUUGCGAAAGUAAGACUAAUACCCAAUGACAUCCCACGAAGGCAUCCGAAUGGGAUUAAAGAUUUAUCGGUGAUGGAUGGGGAUGCGUCUGAUUAGCUUGUUGGCGGGGUAACGGCCCACCAAGGCAACGAUCAGUAGGGGUUCUGAGAGGAAGGUCCCCCACAUUGGAACUGAGACACGGUCCAAACUCCUACGGGAGGCAGCAGUGAGGAAUAUUGGUCAAUGGGCGAGAGCCUGAACCAGCCAAGUAGCGUGCAGGAUGACGGCCCUAUGGGUUGUAAACUGCUUUUAUAAGGGAAUAAAGUGAGUCUCGUGAGACUUUUUGCAUGUACCUUAUGAAUAAGGACCGGCUAAUUCCGUGCCAGCAGCCGCGGUAAUACGGAAGGUCCGGGCGUUAUCCGGAUUUAUUGGGUUUAAAGGGAGCGUAGGCCGGAGAUUAAGCGUGUUGUGAAAUGUAGAGGCUCAACCUCUGCACUGCAGCGCGAACUGGUCUUCUUGAGUACGCACAACGUGGGCGGAAUUCGUGGUGUAGCGGUGAAAUGCUUAGAUAUCACGAAGAACUCCGAUUGCGAAGGCAGCUCACGGGAGCGCAACUGACGCUGAAGCUCGAAAGUGCGGGUAUCGAACAGGAUUAGAUACCCUGGUAGUCCGCACGGUAAACGAUGGAUGCCCGCUGUUGGCCUGAAUAGGCCAGCGGCCAAGCGAAAGCAUUAAGCAUCCCACCUGGGGAGUACGCCGGCAACGGUGCAACUCAAAGGAAUUGACGG
rnacentral:rRNA from 1 species